ACGCUGGCGGCAGGCCUAACACAUGCAAGUCGAGCGGAACACAAGGGAGCUUGCUCCUGAGGUGUCGAGCGGCGGACGGGUGAGUAAUGCCUAGAUAUCUGCCUAGUUUUGGGGGAUAACAGUUGGAAACGACUGCUAAUACCGCAUACGCCCUACGGGGGAAAGGAUGGGACCUUCGGGCCAUUCGCGAUUAGAUGAGUCUAGGUGGGAUUAGCUAGUUGGUAAGGUAAUGGCUUACCAAGGCGACGAUCCCUAGCUGUUCUGAGAGGAUGAUCAGCCACACUGGGACUGAGACACGGCCCAGACUCCUACGGGAGGCAGCAGUGGGGAAUAUUGCACAAUGGGCGAAAGCCUGAUGCAGCCAUGCCGCGUGUAUGAAGAAGGCCUUCGGGUUGUAAAGUACUUUCAGCGAGGAGGAAAGGUUGGUCGUUAAUAGCGGCUAGCUGUGACGUUACUCGCAGAAGAAGCACCGGCUAACUUCGUGCCAGCAGCCGCGGUAAUACGAGGGGUGCAAGCGUUAAUCGGAAUUACUGGGCGUAAAGCGUACGCAGGCGGUUUGUUAAGCAAGAUGUGAAAGCCCCGGGCUCAACCUGGGAAUUGCAUUUUGAACUGGCAAACUAGAGUCUUGUAGAGGGGGGUAGAAUUUCAGGUGUAGCGGUGAAAUGCGUAGAGAUCUGAAGGAAUACCGGUGGCGAAGGCGGCCCCCUGGACAAAGACUGACGCUCAGGUACGAAAGCGUGGGGAGCAAACAGGAGUUAGAUACCCUGGUAGUCCCGCCGUAAACGAUGUCUACUCGGAGUUUGGUAAAUUAGUUACUGGGCUCCCAAGCUAACGCAUUAAGUGACCGCCUGGGGAGUACGGCCGCAAGGUAAAACUCAAAUGAAUGACG
rnacentral:rRNA from 1 species